GAUUUCUGGCGAACCGUUGCGGCCCGUGGUCGUUUCGGCCGUGUGUGCCGUGCCGUGUUUGUCAUCCUUCCAGAGAGCUGCGUCUACCGUUUACUCGGCCGGAUGUAUGCGAUCUGGAUCUAUUACUUUGAAAAAAUUAGAGUGUUUAAAGCAGGCUUAUGCUAUGAAUACAUUAGCAUGGAAUAAUAAUUUAGGACUUUGGUUCUAUUUUGUUGGUUUCUAGGACUGAAGUAAUGAUUGAUAGGGAUAGUUGGGGGUGCUAGUAUUCCGCGGCCAGAGGUGAAAUUCUUGGAUUCGUGGAAGACUAACUACUGCGAAAGCAUU
rnacentral:rRNA from 1 species